UAUGCACCAAUUUGUAAGUCGCUCUGGAUAAGAGCGUCUGCUAAAUUACGUAAA
rfam:Salmo salar isolate Sally breed double haploid chromosome ssa02, whole genome shotgun sequence.